UACGGGGGGAGCAAGCGUUGUUCGGAAUUACUGGGCGUAAAGAGCUCGUAGGUGGUUUGUCGCGUUGUUCGUGAAAACUCACAGCUUAACUGUGGGCGUGCGGGCGAUACGGGCAGACUGGAGUACUGCAGGGGAGACUGGAAUUCCUGGUGUAGCGGUGGAAUGCGCAGAUAUCAGGAGGAACACCGGUGGCGAAGGCGGGUCUCUGGGCAGUAACUGACGCUGAGGAGCGAAAGCGUGGGGAGCGAACAGG
rnacentral:rRNA from 1 species